GGGGGCGUAACGGUUUCGACGGGGACGAUGAAGCAUGAUAAGCGAGCAGAGAUUGUCGCAUCUCUUUAAACAGCGGCACGUUUAAAAUUAAACGCUAAAAAGAACUUUUCUGUAAGCUUUAACAAGAGCCUGCAGGUAGCUGCCUAAGUCAGCUACUGUCGCCCGUAGGAGUACCACGGUCUACGCUGCGGCAUCAUUGCAGUGGUGAACGUUCCGGCGGCCUGUUCACACCGCAGGAUCGGAUUUGAACUACCUUUCUUAGCAGCCUGUUUACCGGCGGUUUUGAAAGGGAAUCAAUGUAGAUAAACUACGCUCGUAGAAAGUUGUGCGGAUUUGUUUUCGGACACGAGUUCAAUUCUCGUCGCCUCCACCA
rfam:Ruminococcus sp. CAG:330, WGS project CBIH01000000 data, contig: 43